UGUUAAAAAUUUUAUCCAUUUUUACUAUUAAAAACUGGCAUGGUUAUCGAAAUAACCAAACAAUAACACAUGGAUGGUCAUGUGUAACUCAUGCUAAUGUAUAGGGACUAGUUUUUAAUAGUAAAAAUGGAUGGAAACUUUAACA
rfam:Gossypium hirsutum cultivar TM-1 chromosome 18, whole genome shotgun sequence